AAAAGUCGGUAGAAUCCGUCUCAGCUAGAAAGUAAGACCUAUAUUUAUGUACAAAGUUUCGAAGUUAUAUUAGUAAGUAGCUCGUCCUGUUUAAUAAGUAAUAGCAACACUUCCUGCAACAUCGCCUUAUUUUUGAGGCAUCAAUUACGAAUAAAUAGGAUAAUACAAAUGUCUAAUACAACUACUGGUACAGUAAAAUGGUUCAACGAGUCUAAAGGUUUUGGUUUCAUCGAGCAAGAAUCUGGUCCAGACGUUUUCGCACAUUUCUCUGCAAUCUCUGGCGACGGUUUCAAAACUCUUGCUGAAGGCCAAAAAGUACAGUUUACUGUUACUCAAGGUCAAAAAGGUCCUCAAGCUGAGAACAUCGUAGCACUUUAAUUAAUAUUUUUAGUUAACUUAAAUUUUUAAGUAAACUAAUA
rnacentral:sRNA from 1 species